rfam:Podospora anserina genomic DNA, chromosome 3.
GGUUGUAUAGUGUAGCGGUUAGCACCCCAGAUUCUGAUUCUGGUAACCCCGGUUCGAUUCCGGGUACGACCU